rnacentral:rRNA from 1 species
CACGUAGGGCGCAAGCGUUGUCCGGAAUUAUUGGGCGUAAAGAGCUCGUAGGCGGUCUGUUGCGUCUGCUGUGAAAACCCGGGGCUUAACCCCUGGCUUGCAGUGGAUACGGACAGACUAGAGGUAGGUAGGGGAGAAUGGAAUUCCCGGUGUAGCGGUGAAAUGCGCAGAUAUCGGGAGGAACACCGGUGGCGAAGGCGGGACUCUGGGCCGAUACUGACGCUGAGGAGCGAAAGCGUGGGGAGCAAACAGG